GUCCACGCCCUAAACGAUGCUCACUAGGUGUUGGGGAAGCGAUUCCUUGGUACCGUAGCUAACGCGUGAAGUGAGCCGCCUGGGGAGUACGGCCGCAAGGUUAAAACUCAAAGGAAUUGACGGGACCCGCACAAGCGGUGGAUGAUGUGGAUUAAUUCGAUGCAACGCGAACAACCUUACCUACCCUUGACAUGUCCGAGAGCCUGCUGAAAGGUGGGUGUGCCCGAAAGGGAAUCGGAACACAGGUGCUGCAUGGCUGUCGU
rnacentral:rRNA from 1 species